AUUGAACGCUGGCGGCAGGCCUAACACAUGCAAGUCGGGCGAGUGGCGGACGGGUGAGUAAUGUAUGGGGAACUGCCUGAUGGAGGGGGAUAACUACUGGAAACGGUAGCUAAUACCGCAUACCAUCAGAUGAACCCAGAUGGGAUUAGAUAGUGGGUAAGGUAACGGCUUACCUAGGCGACGAUCCCUAGCUGGUCUGAGAGGAUGACCAGCCACACUGGAACUGAGACACGGCCCAGACUCCUACGGGCGGCAGCAGUGGGGAAUAUUGCACAAUGGGCGCAAGCCUGAUGCAGCCAUGCCGCGUGUAUGAAGAAGGCCUUCGGGUUGUAAAGUACUUUCAGUCGGGAGGCGUUACCGACAGAAGAAGCACCGGCUAACUCCGUGCCAGCCGCCGCGGUAAUUC
rnacentral:rRNA from 1 species